rnacentral:rRNA from 1 species
UACGUAGGGGGCAAGCGUUGUCCGGAUUUAUUGGGCGUAAAGAGCGUGUAGGCGGCCUGACAGGUCUGCUGUGAAAACUCGAGGCUCAACCUCGAGAUGUCGGCGGAAACCGUCUGGCUAGAGUCCGGAAGAGGAGAGUGGAAUUCCUGGUGUAGCGGUGAAAUGCGCAGAUAUCAGGAGGAACACCGAUGGCGAAGGCAGGUCUCUGGGCCAUAACUGACGCUGAGAGGCGAAAGCAUGGGGAGCGAACAGG